UUACUCAUGGCCUAGUGGUUAGAACGUCCGCCUUGGAUGCGGAAGGUAGUUGGAUCGACCCCAGCCUGAGUCAU